CAGGCAGGCUGCUGAGAUCCCCCAGCAUUCUGGGCUGGGCAAGAACUCAGAUUUCCACCUGAGCUCUGAAAUGAAUGGCUUCAUUUAAUCACAAAAGAAGGAAUACCAGCAAGACCACCCAGGCCCCAGCUCCGGUUUUUCCUGAAGAAUUUGGCCGCAUCUCCCUUUUUGAAGGCAGAGUUUCAUCUUGUAAGUAUAAGAUUCCUUUGUUUCUUUGAUGAUCCUAAAGCACUGGUGUCAUCUGAGGGAAAUGACCUUUUAGGUAACAACACCAGCCAUCACUGGGGGCUUUCCGUGUAAGAGGACCACACUGAAGUCACAGGCUAUGAAGCUGUCCUAUAAGAGGCAGGUGAGGCUCCCUGGGCAGGUAACAGGUGGGGAAGAGGCAUCCAGGCACAUGUCGUGCUGUGGUUCACAAAAGGUGCGACCACCACUAUCUACAAGAGGCUGACAAAAACUAUUUUGCAAAAAGAGAACCAUGACUGUUUGGAUCUUGAAAAGUUUAAGGGUCCUCCUCCCCUCCCCAGGCGGCCAUGAGCAUCUGAGGCCGGCGCCUGUGGCAAGACGUAGCAAUGAGCCACCAGGUCCCUAAGGUACUACGUUGCAUUUCUCAAUCUGACUUUGUUUAGUUUGGGGAAAACAUUUUUUCGGUCCUGAAAAAAAAAAUCACUGUGGUUUCUCUCCUACUCCCGCCCUCUGUAAUCGCCACUUGCAAGAGUUUCACCAUUUUCCCGGAAAACCAAAAAAAUGAGGAUGCUGGGCAGACAUUCUUUGUUUCUUUUCUUCCAUCUCCCUCUGCCCCAGGCCGUCUCGUCUGCCCACUCUCCCUACACCUCCUUCCUUCACGCUGGGCUCGCCUCUUUCUCCUUACCAGAUUUCCUUUUCGGAAUCCAGCUCAACCCUCACCUUGGUAAAUAACGCCUCAGUAGACUUAGAGGUAGCCCGGGUCCUUCCGCCCAUACGGUGCCAGCACACCCUUGGCCCCAUCACAGGCUCAGGCUCAGCCAGCUGCGGGCAGUUCACUGCUUCCUCUCUGCAGCACCCCCUGGUCAUCCUGCUUGAUGUUUCCCUUCUCCCUGUGGGCACUUGUAGCUUAUCAACUCACUCAUCAACCAACAGCUCCUGAGCUCCCACUAAGGAUCAAUUGCACUGUGCAAUAUUAUUUUGCACCCGCCCUUUUGGAAGCCUUCUAACGUCAUUUCACAUGCAUAGGCACGCAGGCUUCUCUCCUCCACCACAUGUUGUCAACUGACCUAUUCCUGUCCUUUCUACUCCCUUUACCAGGGUGGUGUCAGGAGUGAGUAGCACAUUAGUCAAAGCCCCUGGAUUCUCUUAAACGGUUCUGCUACUGACUCACUAUGUGAGUGUAGACAAGUCACUUCCCUUUCUCAGCCCUAACUUCCCCAGCCAUAACAUGCUCUCUGUAGUCUGGAAAGAACACAGCUAGAAUGAAUGGGAUGUCCUCUAUACACAGGGCAACUCCAUAAUUCAUUGUCCAGCUUUCACUUUCGAGAACAGCAGGGGGUGUUUUCAUGUGUAUAACAGGACAGGCUUAAACAGGUUUGUACCUGGCAAACCCAGGGCGUACGGGGCAUGCCAGUUUCUGGGAUCUCAGGUAAAAAUGGGGAUAGGAGCAGGCAUUCCUCAGCUUAUCACCUCCUAGUUCACAGAGAUAGAACAUCAGCAGCUUGCUGUAGUCUGAGCUAUUAGGUUUGCUCUAGGGAAGGAGGCAAGAAAUUCAGUCUAUCUUUCAUACAUUUCCAACCUGUGUGCAAAAACAAUCAGACAUAACUCUCCAACACCCACAGGGUGAUCUGAGACAUGGUGGGUAAAGAUGAGCAAAACUGUUAGAGCAACAAAGAAGGCUCUUAUCUGUGCAUUAUAAGUCCCAGCCUCAAACAUGCCAUGCCAUGCCAUGCCCCUCUGAAAUUUAAACCACCCUGAUACCAAGCACUUGCCUAUUUCGGGUGUCUAAAAUAACACCGGGCCAAGUCAAUUAAGUUGGGCCCAGAGGAAGAGCUAACAGGACCCCAGCAUGGCUCUAAGGGGUCUUAGUAACUUCUGAGAAUUCAGAAGUGGAAGUGUUUGCAUAUAAGAGCUACAUCUGGGCCUGCAGCUCUCAGGGCCCUUGACUUAAUUCCUUCUGGGGAGGAAUAUCCAGGCAGGAAUAGAGAAUCAGGAUGUAGCAUGCAACCACGAUGAGGAAUCAGCAGAAACAGAGCCACCCUUGCUUGGCUCAGAAACCAGAUACCAGGCGCUAGGCAGGAAUUCGCCCCUGGGAAGCUGUUGCUUAAUCCUCUAGUUCCUCAGGCUCCUGGCCUCCUUGACAAAGGCCAAGCCAAACAGGGAUCCCAGGUGAGGCCAGGCUGCCCAGCCAGUGCCAGCUCAUUCAGGAUUAGACUAGGGCUGGGAGGAGCCCAGGCAAACCUUCAGGAUGUCAGGCACUGAACAGAAUCCCAGAGGUAGGCAAGUUGCUGCAGCUCCAAUAAUCCAGUGGAAAAGUGCUAAUUUCCCAAAGGCCUUUCAUCACAAGGCCCAAGUAGUCUUUGGCCUGAGUCUAGCUAGAACCACUGGGAUCUGGGAUGAAACUGAGCAAUUGCAGGUCUUGCUGGCGAGUGAAGAGAGGUUUGGCUGCAACUGGGUCCCAGUUGACCGGGUCACAAGGAUCAGCCAGUUUCUAGGUGCAGAGUUGGGAUCCGCGGCCUUUGCCCCUAAGCAGCCCCACUGAUACCUCCAAGGAACUGUUUUAGUAUAAAAGGGAGGGGGAAGGGAAAAGUUUAUUCCAUUAUCGAAGGUGGAGGGUAGGGAGAAGAAGAACAGGAGAUGGUUGUCUGAGUGUAUUUAUUUUCUUCUAAAAUGUAAACUGAACUGGAAAUGCCUACAGAAACACACAGGCACUUUGAUCAUCAGCCCACUGGGUGGGCAACAUGUCUAAUCUCUGCUCUGCCCUGCACAUUGCAGGCACUUUACAGCUGUAUAACGACAUCUCCACCGUGGUGGUGGCCACAUUUAUUGGCUUUGUGACAUUCAUCAGGGCUUCCUUCUUAUUAAAAAUGCAUGGGCUGCAGCUAUUUGGAAGGACACCAGAUAUAUUCACUCUAGGUAGAAAAUAUUUCUCCUUUCUCCAGGAACCCAAAUGAAGCACCCCAGAUCUUGGGGAAUACAGAGAAGUGAGUGGGCAGAGAGUCUGUGGUGGCAGAGGUGGGACACAGAGCCGAGCUGUCCCCAGGUUAGGUGUCUCAGAUGAAGGAAGUCCCCCAGACCGCAUUUCCUCCUGGAGUGAUUCUGCCUUAUUGACUGUGAUGGUAAAGAACUGACUGUGUAUUUUCCAUUUAUUUACUCCCAUAUAUUCUCCACUUUAAUGCAGGGAGGUAAGAUUAGGGAGUUGGCCCAUUUCGUCCCUUUGAUUUCUUGUCACUCAGCCCCAAAUGCAGAAGCUCAGUGGACUAGCUGCUCCCAGGGAAUGACAAACAGCUUGAACAUUUCAAGGGACUAAAAGUUGAUGGUGGCAGGUGAGAGAGGCCAGUGGGGGAGGAAAGAACCGGUCCUGAGGAGGCUCCUCCUCAAUUCUGUUCAGUUUUUAAAACUAGAGUUUUUUCCUCUUAGUUCCUUCCCUUGGCCUUGAGGCUGUCCCAGUAGACACAGGGAGGUUGGGGCAGGGCUGGAGCCCUGCGGAUGCUCUGAUGAGUGAGAAUGAGUCACCCGCUCAGGCCUCUUUCUGCUUAAGCAGAGGUAAAGGUCCAGCUUUGUAAUAGCCGGAGUGUGAGGAUCCCUCGCACUGAUCUGCCCACAAUGGGCCGCCGGCAGGCCCAGAGACCCUCAAGUCUCAUCCUCAGUGGUCUACCGAGCUGUGCACGGCCAGCUUCCCUGAAUUCACUCCAAAGUCCCAGCCAAGCCCCCUCUAUGUAUUACAGGUAGUUAGGCAUGAAAGGGGCAGAAGAGAGGUCUCUCCAUCACCCACUAGAAAUCUCGGGUGAUGAUUCGGCAAUGAUCGCAUCGCUUCUCUAAAAAUGACAAUUCCACCGCACCAGAAGAGACCAUUUCCUGAUGGUCCGCACCUGUUAACAUCAAACUGUUAAUCGAAUGCAGGCUCCAGGGAGAAGCAACUUCCUGGGCAUGCGUGUUAAGAGACAAAAAAUGAUGACGUUUGAUGACCACUCCACCAGAAAAGGGAAGAAAGCCUGAGGGGCCUGCGUGGACCUCCCUAAACACACUGCGCAUGCUCCAUUCCAAACGGUAUGGCGAGCACUGCGCAUGCGGGAAACCCACCCUGUAAGGGAAGAAUCCUGGGAAAGAGGCAAGCCUAUGAAGUCCCAGGAUCAAGGUUAAAGACCCUCUUUUUUACUGUCUUCUUGUGCUCUCUUUUCUCUCUUGGACCUUCAGGCGCCUGCUUGGGUCUCUUUCAAGCGAAUUUUGCUUUCUUUCCUGUUCUAAAGCCUUUUAACUAAACUUCCACUCCUGCUCUGAAACUUGCUCUCUUUUUCUGCCUUAACGCCCCUCAGUCGAAUUCUUUCUUCUGAGGAGGCAAGGACUGAAGUUGCUGUGGACCCAUAGGGAUUCGCCAUUGGUAACUCGGGGUAACUCGGCUCUCUUCCACUGCUGACGUAUGUAGCAAGUCCUGUCUUCGGGUUGGCAGGCACCACGGCUGACACCACAUGCGCAGAGAGAGGGGAAAGACCAAGAAGUGACUCAUGACAUCACCCUCGUCUCUGAAAGACAAGAUGUUGGUCUCCUCAGGUGCCGUGCAGUCUUCAGUGUUGGCUGCAGCCACAGCCCCUGCAAUGCAGACCAGGAUGAGGGAAAGCCGCUGGAAGAGGCCUACAGCAUUUUUUAUUAGUAAAUCCAGAGGACGUGUUAUAUAAAGUGUAAGACAACCACCAUUGCAUGCAUUUAUUCAUUCACUCAUUCAGUAAGGAAUUUUCCAUUUCUUUAUAAAUGAGUAAAAGGUACAGGCUGGGUGGCCUUGGCCAGUAUCCCAUUAAUGAAAGACAGAUUUGAAUAAAAAUGUGUAAGGUCUCAAAUACCAGGUUACUUACUGCUUUAGAUGGUAUUCAGAGGGGAGCCAUUGAAAGUUUAUAAUGAGAAGGAAAACAAACAUGAUUUUCUGGUUCCUAAUACUUUCCCAUGGACAGUAACUAUUUGCCUACAGAUUGAGCAAACCAUGGUGUUCUGUAAGAUGCCUGGAUUGUUCUGAGCACCAGGACGCUGGCUGCAAGGUGCGGGGCCCUUCGUCCACCGGGGUCUGUCCUGGUUCCUGGGCGAGCUGUGGCAGGGUCUUUCUGGCAGUCCACCCAGUGCCCUGUGGCAGGCGAUCAGGAAGCAGAGGCAGAGCAGCUGGGGGAGGACUGGGAUGACUGAACCUCUCCUGCUUAGGUUCAGGGGCCCUCCCUUCAAGGUGCGGCCUGUGUGAGACACGCAUCCACAGCCCGGUAACCAAAACUGGCACACCCAGCACAGUCACCUCCACGGCAGCACAUGACCUACAUCAGCCAGUCAGCAGCUCUUACUGGGGAGCUCCUAGGUCCAAGUGCAUGUGCAGCAGGACAGGGAGGGGGGCUUACCUACAUUGAAUUAGCAAAGUGAGAUAUACACACAUGAGAAGUUCCAGAAGUAGCAAAGGAUCACGGAUGGUUGCAGAAGCUGAUUGGGGUGGAAGGAAGGACUUCGAGAGGAGAUGGCACUGGAGCUGGGAGUUGAGGGAGAACUAGAGUGAAAUUAGGAAACACGAAGAUGAGAGGGUGUUUUGGCCAUGGUGAUAAAAAAGGAGUGGGAGGACACGCGUGAGGUGUGCUCCAGAGAGGUGAACACUCACUAUGGCAGAGCCCAUUUUGGGGGCGGGUGCCAUUCAUUGGCCAUUAAGGUGGCAAAGCUAGGUUUAAACCAGCCUUUCUAUGUUUCUGAAAGUCAGGCUGAAGGUUUGGACGGUCUUCAGAGAAGAACCAUGGAAAGUUUUUGGCAAAGAAACCAGAUUCAGUGAGACGGUGUUGAUGGAGAAUUCAGUCUGUGCCAGGGAUUGUGUUAGGGACUGGGGGUUCGACCGUGUUAAGACACGGUCUCUGUCUUUAGAGAGUAUCUAACUGGGGGAAUAUGACACAUAAGAAACAGAUAUUUUUGGUUUAACGUGAUAAGGGCUGUGGUAAAAAUAUUCAGAGCAAGUUGUUGCAGCUUAGGAGAAGGGCAGGACACCUGGUUUUGUGGA
rnacentral:lncRNA from 1 species